UCCGGUUUGGCACCGGCGGUCUCCCAUGAGUCCCCGGCAUCACCCGCUGGCAACUAGGAACAGGGGUUGCGCUCGUUGCGCCACUUAAGGCAACACCUCACGGCACGAGCUGACGACAGCCAUGCAGCACCUGUGCGGGCUCCCGAAGGAGCACCGUGUUUCCACGGCUUCGCCCCGCAUGUCAAGCCCUGGUAAGGUUCUUCGCGUUGCGUCGAAUUAAACCACAUGCUCCGCUGCUUGUGCGGGUCCCCGUCAAUUCCUUUGAGUUUUAGCCUUGCGGCCGUACUCCCCAGGCGGGGCGCUUAAUGCGUUAGCUACGGCACGGACAACGUGGAUGUCGCCCACACCUAGCGCCCAACGUUUACAGCGUGGACUAC
rnacentral:misc_RNA from 1 species